rnacentral:lncRNA from 1 species
GUUGUGUAAAAGCUCAGCCAGCUUGCUGUGUCCAGUGGCUUCUCGCCAGGGCUGGUAGCACCAGCUGCUCUGGUACUUGCAGCCCUUGCUGCAGUGCAGUACCUGCAGAAAUUAAACUCUGAGCUCUCUUUGUUAGGGCUUGGCUGCUGCUCUGUGACAGAGUUAAACUCCUUCACCAGCUCUUUUAGUUGCUCUAAUCACAAUUAGGUUUGGACUUGGGCAUUUCUCUUACUGGGAUACCCUCGUUAUCCAGCAUGUCCUGCUGCUGGUGGCAUUUGAUCAGAGCUGGCUGCUGCAAACGUGCUUCCUGCCUCUGCCAAGCUGCAGGAAACCAGAGGGAAGAACCAGAGAAGAGAAACUGAGUACAGCAAGUACCUGUCUGGCCACCAAUCUCCUUUUCCCUGCAGUUUUCUUAGGUGCAUGACAGAUGUUUACCCACAAAGAUUGAUGAGGAUGCUUAUUUAGAAAGAUUUGAUUUGGCACUUGAACCACAUCCAUAAUUGGGAACAUUUUGGAGGAUAAGUUGAUGAAUAGGCCCAUUUGUAUAACCAGGUAGGCUGAAAAGUAGUUUUAAGGUGCAGAAGAUUCAUCUAGGAGGAACUACAAAUAUAAGAAAUAGCUAUUUGAGCUAGAGAAUGGUGUUGAUGAGAAAACAUUAAAUCAUGUAAAAACUGUCUCUGGAUAAAUUUAGACUGGAAUUUGAAAACUUACUAUUAUAUCAAGGUUUAAAUUGAAUGUUGGCUGGCUUUUUUGACAAAACUGAAUUUUUUCAAAAGUUGGGUGAAAUCAGUCCAAGACAAGAAAGUUCAUGUGACACCAAGGAACAGGCUGCUAUUCUUUGAAGCAAGUCCUCCAAAACUUGCAAGACUGUCUCAAGACUCAGUGGGAGACGCUGUUAAAGACAAAAUUUUAAAGAGUAGUACAUAAAUCAACACUGAUAUUUCCAGUAUCCCUAUGAUUUAAUCAAAUUAUGUCUGUGUUGAGACAAACACUGCUUCCUCUAUAGUUCUGUGAUCUUUGAUACAUUUUUAUUUAAAUGUAUUCUACUGGAUAAAAACUAUAUCUUUUCAAAAUUACAAACCACAACCUGAUGUUUACUGAGCUUCCUUCCCACCCCAAGGAAGUUUUGGAAGGCACAGUUUUGUAAAUGUCAACCAUUUCAGAGUAUCUCAGUUUCGCAUUUUCAUACUGGAAAA